rfam:Schistosoma margrebowiei strain Zambia genome assembly, scaffold: SMRZ_contig0000867
AUUCAGUUGAUCAGUCCCAAAUAGGACGACAUGCGCGUCCUAGAU